rnacentral:lncRNA from 1 species
CCCAUUGGUCUCCAUGUUGGUGAGGUUACCCCGCAGGUUCUGCUCCUCCUCGAAAGCCUUGAACAGUGAGUUGAAGUUGCCGGCUCCAAAACCCUGUGGCGGGAAAGAGAGGAGAUGAGCCAAGGACCCAGAAAACCGAGUGUGCUAGCUGCCUGUCCCCUCGGGCCUGCCGGGGACAAGCAGUACCUGGUGGUUGUGGCGCUGGAUGACUUCCAGGAAGAGCGUGGGCCGGUCCUGCACCGGUUUGGUGAAGAUCUGCAGGAGGCGCUGGCUCAUUGAUGGGCAUCUUGAUGGACUCUUCAUAGUUGGCCACCACAAUGGAUCGCAGAGAGCUAUAUUCCGUGUGCACCUGCGUGUCAUCCACGGACCAGAAGCGGUGGAACUGCAGGUUUUUCAGGUGGAAGUGUCUUGGAACGAAAUACAUACAGGACGGCAAGGCUCCCACAGAUGGAAGUAAAGUGCUUUGAGAAAAAGGCCCUUGCUUGGAAUUUGGACAGGGGGCUCUCUGGGUGGUGGCAACCUUCCUCCAAGCCUCCCUGGACUGUGAUGUCCCCAGGGUUCCUCAGAAGGAGGGCCUGUGGGUCGCUUUGGGCCUCAAGUCCACUGGUCUCCAUGUUGACAGUUUUACAGUGAAUAAAUGCAUCAGUGGCCUCAGGCUAACUCCCAACAUCUUGUGCUGUAUUUUCCACUUUUAUUUUAUUUUACUUUAUUAUUAUUAUUAUUAUUUUG